GACGAACGCUGGCGGCGUGCUUAACACAUGCAAGUCGAACGGAAAGGCCCUGCUUUUGUGGGGUGCUCGAGUGGCGAACGGGUGAGUAACACGUGAGUAACCUGCCCUUGACUUUGGGAUAACUUCAGGAAACUGGGGCUAAUACCGGAUAGGAGCUCCUGCUGCAUGGUGGGGGUUGGAAAGUUUCGGCGGUUGGGGAUGGACUCGCGGCUUAUCAGCUUGUUGGUGGGGUAGUGGCUUACCAAGGCUUUGACGGGUAGCCGGCCUGAGAGGGUGACCGGCCACAUUGGGACUGAGAGACGGCCCAGAAUCCUACGGGAGGCAGCAGGGGGGAAUAUGGCGCAACGGGGGGAAGCCUGAUGCAGCAACGCCGCGUGCGGGAUGACGGCCUUCGGGUGAAAAACCGCUUUCGCCUGAGACGAAGCGUGAGUGACGGUAAUGAGUAAAGAAGCACCGGCUAACUACGUG
rnacentral:rRNA from 1 species